CCUACGGGCGGCUGCAGUGGGGAAUAUUGGACAAUGGGCGAAAGCCUGAUCCAGCCAUGCCGCGUGUGUGAAGAAGGCCUUCGGGUUGUAAAGCACUUUCAGUGGGGAAGAAAGCCUUGGGGCUAAUACCCUCGAGGAAGGACAUCACCCACAGAAGAAGCACCGGCUAACUCCGUGCCAGCAGCCGCGGUAAUACGGAGGGUGCGAGCGUUAAUCGGAAUUACUGGGCGUAAAGCGCGCGUAGGCGGUCUGAUAAGCCGGUUGGGAAAGCCCCGGGCUCAACCUGGGAACGGCAUCCGGCAGUCGGGCUAGAGUGCAGGCGAGGAAGGGAGAAUGCGCGGUGUAGCAGGGAAAGGCGUAGGGCUCGGGAGGAAUCCCAGUGGCGAGGGCGGCCUUCUGGACUGACACUGACGCUGAGGUGCGAAAGCGUGGGUAGCAAACAGGCUUAGAUACCCUGGUAGUC
rnacentral:rRNA from 1 species